rnacentral:sRNA from 1 species
CUGGGCCGGUCCGACGGUGUGGCCAAGAUGAGCCCCAAGGACCUGUUUGUCCCAACUGGACGGGAGGCUGUGGGUCCUGCCCGUCGGGGGAGUGACUGGUGUCUCCCGGUUCAGAGCAGAGGAAGAAGUAUUCCAACUCCAACGUCAUCAUGCACGAGACUUCGCAGUACCACGUCCAGCACCUGGCCACAUUCAUCAUGGACAAGAGCGAAGCCAUCACGUCUGUGGACGAUGCCAUCCGGAAGCUGGUGCAGCUGAGCUCCAAGGAGAAGAUCUGGACCCAGGAGAUGCUGCUGCAGGUGAACGACCAGUCGCUGCGGCUGCUGGACAUCGAGUCUCAGGAGGAGCUGGAAAACUUCCCGCUGCCCACGGUGCAGCGCAGCCAGACGGUCCUCAACCAGCUGCGCUACCCGUCUGUGCUGCUGCUCGUGUGCCAGGACUCGGAGCAGAGCAAGCCGGAUGUCCACUUCUUCCACUGCGACGAGGUGGAGGCAGAGCUGGUGCACGAGGACAUCGAGAGCGCGUUGGCCGACUGCCGGCUGGGCAAGAAGAUGCGGCCGC